rnacentral:rRNA from 1 species
UGGGGAAUCUUCCGCAAUGGACGAAAGUCUGACGGAGCAACGCCGCGUGAGUGAAGAAGGCCUUCGGGUUGUAAAGCUCUGUUAUUAGGGACGAAUGUACGAUGUGUAAAUAAUGCAUUGUAGUGACGGUACCUAAGGAGGAAGCCACGGCUAACUACGUGCCAGCAGCCGCGGUAAUACGUAGGUGGCAAGCGUUGUCCGGAAUUAUUGGGCGUAAAGCGCGCGCAGGUGGGAUAAUAAGUCUUAUGUAAAAGUGCGGGGCUCAACCCCGUAGCGCGUGAGAAACUGUUAUUCUUGAGUGCCGGAGAGGAAAGCGGAAUUCCCAGUGUAGCGGUGAAAUGCGUAGAUAUUGGGAGGAACACCAGUGGCGAAGGCGGCUUUCUGGACGGUGUCUGACACUGAGGCGCGAAAGCCAGGGGAGCGAACG